CAUCGUUUUCCCGGGCGCUGUGCGGGUUUCUCAAACAGCCCAGCUGGUGCCUGGAAAGGGAGUUUCUAGAAGCUCCAUCUCUACUGCCUCCCCUCCCCUUUGGAGUUUGGUUUUACCCCCGCCCGGAGCGCCUCCAGCUCCACAGCCUCCGCCCCUCGAGGGGUCCAGAUGGUGAUCAUGGCCGGGACGGUGAUGCUGGCGUACUACUUCGAAUACACCGACACGUUCACUGUGAACGUGCAGGGCUUCUUCUGCCACGACAACGCCUACCGCAAGCCCUACCCGGGCCCGGAGGACCGCAGCGCCGUGCCCCCCGUGCUCCUCUACUCGCUGGCCGCCGGGGUCCCCGUGCUCGUGAUAAUAGUGGGAGAAACAGCUGUGUUUUGCCUGCAACUUGCCACACGAGAUUUUGAAAAUCAGGAAAAAACUAUUUUAACUGGAGACUGUUGCUAUAUAAACCCACUGGUGCGCAGAACUGUCCGAUUCCUCGGAAUUUAUACAUUUGGACUGUUUGCAACAGAUAUCUUUGUAAAUGCUGGACAAGUUGUUACAGGAAAUCUGGCUCCACAUUUUCUUGCCCUGUGUAAGCCCAACUACACGGCACUAGGAUGUCAGCAGUACACACAGUUCAUCAGUGGAGAAGAGGCUUGCACAGGGAACCCAGAUCUCAUCAUGAGGGCAAGGAAAACAUUCCCAUCCAAAGAGGCGGCUCUCAGUGUCUACGCAGCCAUGUAUCUGACAAUGUACAUUACCAACACAAUCAAAGCCAAAGGAACCAGACUUGCUAAGCCAGUUCUAUGCUUGGGAUUAAUGUGUUUAGCCUUUCUUACCGGACUCAACAGAGUAGCAGAAUAUCGAAAUCAUUGGUCAGAUGUGAUAGCAGGCUUUCUGGUUGGAAUAUCUAUAGCAGUAUUUCUGGUCGUGUGUGUGGUAAAUAAUUUCAAAGGACGACAACCAGAAAAUGAACAUAUACACAUGGAUAACCUGGCCCAGAUGCCAAUGAUCAGCAUUCCUCGAGUAGAAAGUCCUUUGGAAAAGGUAACAUCUGUACAGGGAGCAAUUAAUCUGCAACUCCAAUGUGCAGCAUUAAAAUUCCAUUAACACUGGAGCAGAAUAUUAACGUGUCUGGCAUUGCCAUUUUCAUCUCCCCAAAUUCCAGUGUCAAUUUUGAAUAAAGCAGAACCACAUCGCUGCCUUCGCGGAAGUCACAUGAUAUUGAAGUAGAUGGUUUUUCCCUGCAUUGGACAUCAUCUCUUUUUACCAUCCAUUCAUAACACCCAAAAUUUGUUUGAUUUUUUUAAAAGUUUAUAACAUUGUCUAAUAAUUUUUAUAAUUUUCAAAUUAAUUUCAGUGUAUCUGUUUCCCCCACUAGACUGUGAGCUCCUCGAGGGCAGGACCGUGUCUUCCUUUUCUGUAUCCCCAGCACCUAUAACAAAACCUAGCACAAAGUAGGUGUUCAAUAAAAUGAGAUGAUCAAAUGAACAAAUUAAUUCUUAAAUCAAAUUUUCACUUUAGUUUCUCAAAAAUCUCUGAGACUGUAAAAAGAAACCUUGACAUGAGUCACAUUUGUAUUAGAAAAGCCACUAUUUGGGGCUAAACUUUUUAAUUUUUCAUAUUAUCUGUUCAGUAGCAUAUCAUAUAUAAAUUGAAGUGGACUUUGAAAGUCAUGGGGGUUUUAUUUUAUUAUUCAGCAUGACAUUCUCAUUCUAACAGAUUUCAGCGUGUGAAAUUACUUUUAAAAACUAUGUCCUAUACUACUAAAUAAUGUUUGCACAUUAUAUUAUGCUAUUUGUCACUUAAAAUACCAUUCAUACUAUACAUUCGAAGACUGGUGCUUCUGCUUUUGAAGGGGAAAAUGCCAAUUUUUACUGUAAUAAGUAAUGUAUCAUAAUUAAAAAUUAUUUAUUUGGAGUUUUUCUCCUGACAGUUGUGGUUUAAUUUUUGAUUUGUAGUUUCUGAAUGCUGGCAGUGUUUAGGAUCAGUUAAAUGAGUAAAUCCAGCUGAUUAUGGAAUAAUUUUCCAUUGACAACAGUGUCUCAAGUGUGGUCAAUGGGUCCCAUUCUUAGAUAUUUUUUACUGGGCCAGAUUUUACAUUAUUCAAAUGGGAAAGAACCACCCCGACACAAUUUAAAUUAGAUAACUGCUAGAAAUAGAAUUAAAAUAUUUGACUUUGCCUUUGUUAGUGCUUUACAGUAUGAAAUACAUUUGCUUUAUGAUUUCAUUUAAUCCUCACAAUCACCCCAUGUAAAUAUUACAAGUAUGGCUUUAUUUCAUAGAUGAGAAAAAUGAAGCCAAGAUGGGGUGAACAACAUGCCUGAUCCUACACAACUAGGAAAAGGCAGCGUCAAAACCAAAUUUAGAUAUUAUGACCCCAAACAUUUCCAAGAUGCCACAGCUGUCAUGCGAUCUUUGGAUACCAAGGCCUUUGAGAGGUCAUUAAGUACUGGGCAACUACCUAUGUUUCAACAAAUGCAGAAAUACCAAAAGAGGGUUACAAAAACUGCUAUAUUUUAAAUGUUUACUUUUUAAGAAUGCACAUUUUUUAAAUACACAGUGACACAGUAACCUAUUUGUAAUCUGGUUUGUAAAUAAUUAAUGUAGAAGGCCUGGAUUGGAGGCCCUUUAUAAAUGAAGCCUGAACCAAGUGUCUUUCCUUCCACUCUCAACUCCAGACCCCAGACCCAUUCAGAAGACCUGAGGGCCAUGAUUUACAAUGAGCAUGUGGAAUUAAGGGUAGAAAUUACCAUAGAAAGGAAGACGAUGAGCUCCUCAACAGUCUCCUUGCCAACUUUAAAGCUAACCUGAUUAACUUUGUCUUAUAUGAGCAGCAAUCAGUUGAAACAAAUCUUUCUAGUCUUGAAAGAAAGUGAACUUUUAAUUCAUUAUGUAAUUCAAAAGAAAUCAGAAAAAAAAGAAAUAUAUAUAUAUAUAACCAAAAUUCAUCCAUUGCUUCCAAAAUGGAUGUCACUUGUCCGUUUCCAAAGCUAGGCCUUAAAAUAUUUACUAGGGCCAAAUAAAGUAAAUUAUAUUUCUACCAAUUUCAGGUCUCUAUAGCAAUUCAAUUCUGUUGGAAAUUUAGAACAUGAAAAAGCUUUGAAUGCUUUGACCCUCUUCAGAGAAUAAGGUUUUAAAUAAUAACAGCAAUGGGGAAUUCAGUUAUUGGCAGUGGAUGUGAGGGGUGAUCAUAAUGCUUUAGGAGGCUGGAUCACCAAUAAGGCUUCUAAAGUUUGAUCGGUUCUAUUGGUACCACAUCAGCUUUUUAAGAAUCCAAGCAGAAAUAUUUUCCUAUUGGAAGCCUUAGCUAUAAGUUAGUAUGUCAGUGUUGUUAUCUUUGUACCCUGCUAAACCUGGUCUGAAUACAGGAGUUGUAAAUUCUUCAAAAACCCAGGAUGUAACCUGGAAUCAGAGUAAGGUCACUUUUAAUAUUUAAACAUCAUGGAUCCAAGAUUGCUCAAUGAAUGAUUCUAUCAUGAAGAAAACCAGGAAAAAAAGGAAGAUACAUGUGAAUAAGGCAAAAGCCAGCCAAAACACAAAACCUUUAACCAUGAUCCUAUUACCAAGAAUAAUGAAAAGUACAUUUGACAAAAAUUAUAUAUGUAUAUAUACCUAUAUAUAUAUGGCAGGCAAACAUAUCUUUCUGAUAAAGACAUCCUUUUUAUUCUAUUUCCUUGGGGCCCAGGUCAGUAUAAAUUGAUCAACCUGAAAAUUUCAGUAGUGUCUGUUUGCAUGGCAGAAAUUCUGCACAUGUUUUAUCUGAUUCCUAAGAUAACUUAAAAGGCUCUUUUAUGUUAAAAGAGAGGUGAACCUUCUUUGACAGACUUUGUCCACUCUACUUCUAACUGGGCCUCUCUUCUCAGGAUAUAGCUAGUCAAGUAUCUCAGCUACAUUUAUCAUAGAGUUUCCUUUGUGAAAAAGCAGUAGAGAGGGAAAUAAUUCU